GAUGAAGAACGUAGUGAAAUGCGAUAAGUAAUGUGAAUUGCAGAAUUCAGUGAAUCAUCGAAUCUUUGAACGCACAUUGCGCCCGCCAGUAUUCUGGCGGGCAUGCCUGUCCGAGCGUCAUUUCAACCAUCAAGCCCCCGGGCUUGUGUUGGGGACCUGCGGCUGCCCGCAGGCCCUGAAAACCAGUGGCGGGCUCGCUGUCACACCGAGCGUAGUAGCAAUCACCUCGCUCAGGGCGUGCUGCGGGUUCCGGCCGUUAAACAGCCUUACAAAACCCAAGGUUGACCUCGGAUCAGGUAGGAAGACCCGCUGAACUUAAGCAUAUCAAUAAGCGGAGGA
rnacentral:misc_RNA from 1 species